rnacentral:rRNA from 1 species
UACGUAGGUGGCGAGCGUUGUCCGGAUUUACUGGGCGUAAAGGGAGCGUAGGCGGACUUUUAAGUGAGAUGUGAAAUACCCGGGCUCAACUUGGGUGCUGCAUUUCAAACUGGAGGUCUAGAGUGUCGGAGAGGUAAGUGGAAUUCCUAGUGUAGCGGUGAAAUGCGUAGAGGUUAGGAAGAACCCCGGUGGCGAAGGCGACUUACUGGACGAUAACUGACGCUGAGGCUCGAAAGCGUGGGGAGCAAACAGGAUUAGAUACCCUGGUAGUCCCUGAGCGGG